CCCUUAGAUGUUCUGGGCUGCACGCGCGCUACACUGAAGCUAUCACCACGUUUUCCCUCCCUGAGAAGGGCGGGUAACCUUUUGAAUCAGCUUCGUGGUAGGGAUCGGGGCUUGCAAUUGUUCCCCGUGAACCAGGAAUUCCUAGUAGACGCGAGUCAUAAGCUCGCAUCGAUUAAGUCCCUGCCCUUUGUACACACCGCCCGUCGCUACUACCGAUUGAACGUUUUAGUGAGGCAUUUGGACCGACGCAUCUCAGUUUAACCGCUGGUUUGUGUUGGAAAGACUUCCAAACUUGAGCGUUUAGAGGAAGUAAAAGUCGUAACA
rnacentral:rRNA from 1 species